CGGGCGCCCGGACGCCGGGCUGGCUUCUAAAGGCGGCUGGUGCUCUGAAUCCUGGUAACUCCCAAGAAAGCGACGUCUACACUAUGAAUUUGACUGGGCCCAAUGUGCCUCUUCGGAAAACUGAAAAAGACACCCUGUACCUAACAGAUGCCACACAUUAAGUUGUUACUGAAAAAAACUUUUAAAGCCCUAUUACGGAUACAUAUGUUUUCAUUUAAAAACUACUAUGAAAUGGAGUGUUCUUUUAUUUAAGCAUUCCCCUGUGGUUGUACGAAUUAAGGAUUGGUAGUACUGUAUUAACAACCGAGAACCAGACCGAACUGAACUGGUUAAAAAACAGUUGGUAAAACUGCCAACACCGGUCUGGUGACUGCAAUGUGAGGCAGCAUGCACAUUUAAAAGUAAGUUCUAAUUUUUUAAACUUUCUCAUGUUGGUAAAUAUUGAUGAACUUUUACAGUUUCAGCCACAGUUUUGAAAAGGGAAAUAACAUAUAAAGCCUUUACAUUACACAACCCAAACCACAGCUGCAUGGCUCUUAUUAGUUAAGUGUGUUUAUUAUUCUGAUUGUUAAAUUUUCCUUUCCUGGGAGAAAAACCAGAGAGAACAAGCUUGUUUCUAUUCAAGUGAAACAACUUGUAGUCCCCACAUCUUGUCUCUUAAUUUACUGUUUUUCAAUUUGACUUCUGUCCUUUAAUUUUAAAUAAUGAGUAUACAAUGUGGGGAGAUGUAAACAUGAGAAAAUCAUUUUUAUAUGUGGAUUUCUUUCAGGCUUAGCUUUCACAAAAUAUUCUGUGUUCUCUAUUGCUACAAAAUUUGUAUCGUAAAUGUACAUAUAAAGGUUUGCAGGCAAUGAGAUACAUUGAUUUUAUUUAUAAGGAAAAGGGUGAUGACUGAUAUAUUUUGCUGAUUUAGAAUUGGUAUGGGAACUCAUUGCCAAGCAAAGCAACAAUAUUUUGAGCUUGAGUCCCAGUAAAGUUCAGAUGUUUGUGUCUAUGAACUCA